rnacentral:rRNA from 1 species
AUGAAUAUCCUUGUCUGGAACUGUCAGGGACUGGGGUUGGACUCGACAGUGGGCGAACUGCGCGACCUGAUUAGGUCGCACAACCCAGUGGUGGCGUUUCUGAGUGAAACGAAGAAGCGAGCGAGGGCUAUGGACAAGCUCAAGUGGAGUUUGGGCUUCAGGUGUGGUGUGGCCGUGGACUGCAACGGUAAAAGUGGAGGGCUUACCCUCUGGUGGAGGGAUCAUGUACAUGUCACGAUAAGGCCAUGGUGCCAAUAUUUUCUCGAUGCUGAGGUGGUCAGUGAGGGCAAAACCUUUAGGAUCACUGGAUUCUAUGGGGAAGCGGAUGUUGAACGCAGAGGCAAAUCAUGGGAUGCCCUUCGGUAUCUGAAGAGGCAGGAUAAUCUGCCGUGGCUGUGUAUUGGGGAUUUCAAUGAGAUCCUCUUUCACUCGGAGCAGAAGGGAGGGAAUCUGAGGGGUUUUCUGCAGAUGGAAUCAUUCAGGGACUGCCUUGAUGAUUGUGGCCUUGCGGAUCUUGGCUUUACUGGCUAUCCUUUCACCUGGGAUAACAAGCGAAGCGACAAUGACAACAUUCAGGUGCGUUUGGAUCGGGGUACGUGCUCCGACGAGUUCUUGGCCAUGUUCCCCAGUACGUUUGUGGAGCAUAUCAUCACGGAGGAGUCAGAUCACGUGGCUCUGGUGGUUCGUGUUUUGGAGACGGCUCCAACGCUUGAACCCCGGCAAGAACGGCUCUUUCAAUUCGAGGAAGCAUGGACACGGCAUGAAGGCUACGAGGCAAUGGUGGCUGAGCAGUGGGCCUGA